UUAACUAAUCAUGGAACUAACUUUCCUAUAAAACUAAACCAUUAAAUAUAACUAAAUUAUUUUAAGAAAACUAACCAGGAGCAGAAAAACUAUUGUUGCUUAUGGAUUAAAAGGGAGCAAACAUGUUCUUGCUAAACUUUGAACAAACAAAAGAUAACAAACUAAUGGACAAAAAUAAAGAAAACCUGCUCGAACAGAAAAGAAGCAGCAGCGCUGGAACCAUGCCGGCAACUCGAACGAAACCGACCUCACUCAAACUCCAUCUUGGAAAAGCGAAAAUCCGAAACAAGGAAGAUGAAACAGAACUUUUUAUGUGCUCUAUUUUGUAGUUGUCUUGCGAAUUAGUUUUAGAUGUUAGAAUAGUGACAAACUGAUUUUUGACGGAGCUUAGGACGAAAAGAAGAUGGGAGAUUUUGCUCUCUCUGUUUUCAACAUCUCUUUCUCAUGUGCCUUCUAUUUCGUCUUCUCACUCUAUGUGUGUGCGUGUGUGUGUAUGGCUGCUGGUUCGAUAUGGUAGAGGCAUAGAUGGGGUUGUUUGGUGUGAGGUGAGAGGUUUUCCUAAAGGUCCAUGGCUGUUGUAGCUGUGAUAGAUGAAGAAAAAGAAGCAGUGGCGAUGGGUGGUUGUUGCGGUGGUGUUGCGUAUAGAACUGGUGAACGUUGGUUGUUGCUGAAGGUUUAGGGAUGAAGAAACCGAGGUUCAAGCCAUUGGAAUGUGAAGGAGAGGAGGAGGGUCGUAUGGGGUGGGGUUCGAAAUUGUUCUCUGCUGCUUCUUUAGAUGCUUAUUUUGUAUAUGUUCGUCCAAAUCUAGAAGAAGAACGGCGGAUAGCUAUACGGGUAUAGGUCUUAGAGUCUAGGUAUUUUUUAGGCUAAUUUUGGUUAUAUAGAGAGGGUUUUUAGGUUAAGGGGUAUGAGUUUGGUAUUAUUAGGNNNNNNNNNNNNNNNNNNNNNNNNNUGAAUUUAUGAAAUAUACGUAAACUAAAGUAUUUUUGUCAUUUUUAUUUUUUGUGACGAAAUAAAGUAAAAGAGUCAAAAAUUAGUUGAAAUAGUGAUAUUAGGCCUAAACUAAAUAUUUACAUGCUAAAAUAUAAAAAAUCUUGGGGAGGGUCAAAAAUCACUUGUCUACAGCUGCCCCUUUUUGACUGGGAACAUGAAGAAUUUUCAGAUAAAGAACGACUAGAAAGGUUUUUUAACCCGACCCCUAUUUAGAGAGACUAAAACUAAGAGAAAAGGGGAAUAUGACCGAGCUCUGGUAUCUGAGCUGCCUAUAUAUCCUUGGCUAUAAAGGAAUCAGGCCACGUGUAGUUUAGAAGUGAGUGAGAUGAUGGAGUAUACCGAGGUGGAGAGCCGGUCGAGGUGUCGUUCCAUAGUCCUAUUAUUACUCAAAAAUCAAAUAAUGAAAAAUACUAGCUAAGCCUGUCAACUAUGAGUUACAAGAUUCCUAUCUAUAAGUCUUCUGAAGCUUGAUCUUGAGUCUUGAAUGACUCUUCAUGCAGACUCUAGAUUUGAACCUUGGUAUUUUUUAGCUGCAGGUGCUAGUUCAUUCUUCUUCAGCUUUUCGGAUCAAGAUCGGACAUGCAGUGCUUGUGACCUCAGCCAUGUCUUGAGCAUCUCACAUCUUUCAUCAAACUUCUGAAUUUGGAUACACUUCUUUUUUUUCUUUUUCCCCUCUUUUUUAUAUUCUAGAUUGAGGCUACUUUUGUUGGUCAUCUCAGACUGUUGACCCGCAUUCUUGUCGCGAGCUUCUUUUGUUGCUGACUUGAAUUACAUUCUGAAGUGAAUUCCCUUGUUUUCCAGGUGGGUGCCUGAUUUCUAAAACUUGAACUGUCUUCCUUCGAAACUUGAACUGCAUUCCCUUGUUCUCCAGGUCGAUUGAUGAAACUCGAAUUGUUUUCCUUGAAACUUGAGUUGUUUUCCCUUGUUCUCCAGGUGGGCACCUGACUGCUGAAACUCGAAUUGCUUUUCCCUGAAACUUGAGCUUCUUUCCCUUGUUCUCCAGGUGGGUGCCUGAUUGUUGAACUUGAACUGUCCUCCUUUGAAACUUGAGCUGUUUUCCCUUGUUCUCCAGGUGUGUGCCUGAUUGCUGAACUUGAACCGCUUUUCCCUGAAACAUAAGCUGCUUUCCCUUGUUCUCCAGGUGGAUGCCUGAUUGCUGAACUUGAACUGUCUUCCUUUGAAACUUGAGCUGUUUUCCCUUAUUCUUCAGGUGGGCGCUUGAUUUCUGAACUUGAACCGCUUUCCUUUGAAACUACUUUCCCUUGAAACUUGAACGGUCUCCCCUUGUUCUCCAGGUGGGCGCCUGACUGCUGAACUUGAACUGCUUUCCUUUGAAACUGUUUUCCCUUGAAACUUGAACUGCUUUCCGUUGAAACUGCUUUCCCUUGAAACUUGAACUUCCUUACCUUGUUCUCCAAGUGGGCGCCUGAUUGCUGAAACUCGAUAUACUUUUCCCUGAAACUUGAACUGCCUUCCUUUGUUCUCCAAGUGGGCGCCUGAUUGUUAAGUUUGAACGUUCUUCCUUCGAAACUUGAGUUGCUUUCCCUUGUUCUCCAGGUGGGCGCCUGAUUGCUGAACUCGACCUGCUUUCCCUUGAUACUUGAAACUUUUUUCCCUUAUUCUCCAGGUGGGCACCUGAUUAUUGAACUUCAACUGUCUUCCUUGGAAACUUGAGCUGUUUUCCUUUGUUCUCCAGGUGGGCACCUGAUUGCUGAACUUGAACUGUCUUCCUUCGAAACUUAAGUUAUUUUCCCUUGUUCUCCAGGUGGGCGUCUGACUGCUGAAACUCGAAAUGCUUUUCCCUGAAACUUGAGCUGUUUUCCUUUGUUCUCCAGGUGGGUGCCUUAUUGCUGAACUUGAAUUGUCUUCCUUUGAAACUUGAGUUGUUUUCCCCUGUUCUCCAGGUGGGCGCCUGAUUGCAAAAUUUUGAACUGCUUUCCUUUGAAACUGCUUUCCCUUGAAACUUGAACUGUCUCCCCUUGUUCUACAGGUGGGCGCCUGAUUGCUGAACUUGACCUGUCUUUCCCUGAAACUUGACUUGCUUUCCCUUGUUCUCUAGGUGGGCGCCUGAUUGCUGAACUUGACCUGUCUUUCCCUGAAACUUGAAUUGUUUUUCCUUGUUCUCCAGGUGGGCGCCUGAUUGAUGAACUUGACCUGGUUUUCGUUGAAACUCGAAUCAUUUUCCCUUAUUUUACAAGUAGGCGCCUGACUGCUGGACUUGACCCAUCUCCUCUUGUUACUUGAAACUAUUUUCCCUUGAAGCUUGAACCAUUUUCCCUUUUUCUCCAGGUGGGCUCCUGAUUUCAACUUGAAUUGCUCUCCCUUUGUUCUCCAGGUAGGCACCUGAUUACCAACGCUUGAAUUACUUUCCCUUUGUUCUCCAGGUGAGCUCCUGAUUUCCAUCACUUGCACUGUUUUUCCUCGAAACUUGAAUUGCUUCCCUUUGUUCUACAGGUGGGUUCCUGAUUACCAACAGUCGAAUUGUUUUCCCUUUGUUCUCCAGGUGGGUGCCUGAUUUCCAACUCGGACAGACAAAACAAAGAAAAGUUUCUGCCCCAAUUUGGUAGCGGGGCACAUCGGUGAGUGUUAAUUGCACCAUGUUACCAAAUAUCCCUUAGAAUCUGAAAGCUAGAUCCUAUUAUCUAGGAGGGUCCUGAAAACUCCUAGUAAAAUGACAGUUUUAAAGCUAAAUUAUAUUUUCUAAAGGUAUGACUUUCUCUAAAUCUUGUUAUCUAUGAAGGUCUUAAAACUAAAUUCCAUUAUCCAGGAGGGUCCUGAAAAUAUCCAAUUGAGUCUCGUCCUAAGAAUGAAAACUUCAAAACCAACUUAUAUUUCUAAAAGUAGAGCUUAUGCUAGAUCUUGUUAAUCAUGAAUGUUUGAAUUUUAACUAAGUCCCUUUGUCCAGGAGGGUCCUGAAAAUUUAUGAUCAAACCUGUCCAGUACUUGAUUUCCUUAUGGAGGGUUUCUCCGAAACAAACAAAAUUUUCUGCCCCUAUUUCAAAUCAAAGAAACGUCUUGUCAGUUUAAAACAAGGUGGUUAGUUUGUGGCAUUCUUGUUGAAGGUGGCCUCUCCACUGCCGCGCUUUGCUUUGAUUGGUUGCCUUGAACUGGCCUAGAACCGUUUGACUUUCUGACUGACUCUCAAUCGCAGGACCUUGGAUGACCCGAGUGCUUUACACCCAAACCGUUGUUUUACAUUUCUGACCCUUCUACAUGAACCUCUGUAUAUUCCCCGAAAUGUACAAACCACUCGACUUCUUGAACUUUCAUUAACCCCAUACCUUUAUUUUUUACAUCAUGUUAUUUCUGGCACGUUUUGGCCGCACUUUACUUUGUGCAAUUUGGAAGUUGGUAGUAAGAUUUGAAAACCUUCCUUACUUGCUUAAACAAGGCUGACAUUGAAAGAAACCUUAGAGAAAUAAACCCUAAAGAAAUGAAAUGCAAUGACUUUGAGAGUUGGGAAUAAAAGAAAAUCCAAAUCUGGAUGACUGUUUGAGGGAGAGAAGGAAAAGAGACUUAUCUGAGUGGAGCAGCUGGUACCAAUGAUCAUGACAUGUAUUUCGGAUUAAUCAGCCCAAUCUAUUCAAUCAAUCAUCUUUCAGAUGUCAUACCAUGUGCCCUAGGACCUUCAUAACCCAAUUUCUUUGGCCAAUCACUAACCUUAUCCGUCAUGCGGUGCCCUGAAGGGUUUUCACCAACAAACCUCUUUCAUUUUUUCAUCUCUCAAACUCACUGUCACCUUAUGGUGCCUGCGAAGGUUUUCACCUAUAAGACUCUUUUAUUUUUAAUUUCUCUCAGCUUUCUGUCGCCUUACGGUGCCCGUGAGGGUUUUCACCAAUAAGACUCUCUCAUUUUCAUUUGCUUGCUCGGAACGGAAUGUUGUCCCUGAUAUGAAUCACCUCUACCUGCUCGACUUGGCAUCUCUCGAACACUGAUCGGAAGGUCUUUCUUUGGACCGUAAUAUGGGCUUUUGGAUAGGGUUAGAAAGAAAGGAUAUCAAAAGGGUCAAAACAAUUUGAAAGGGUCCAAAAUUACAACUUUUGGAAUCAGAUUUCUUAUAAUAACUACAACUUCUGCCACAGUUUCUUUGCUUGGGGACGUUUGAAUUUUUAUUUUGAUGGGACCGAACCGUGAUGCUUCCUACCUAUCCUUAAAAGGAAUCAGGUCAAACGUAGUUCUUUUCAUAGGAAUUGCUUUGUUAUUGUUACUUCUCUUUUCCUUUCUUUCUCUUCUUUUUUUCUUUUCUUUAUUUUCUUUUCUUUCUUUCUUUCUUUCUUUCUUCUUUCUUUUUUUUCUUUUCUUUUCUCUUUAUUUCUUUCUUUUCAUUCUUUUUCCAUUUUUUCAUUUUCUUUUCUCUCUUCUUUCCUUUUUAACUUCUUUACUUACUUUUUGCGUUCGUAUGUUCUGAAUUUUGCUACUAAUUCCAAAAGAGGGGUAUGAAAGGAAAUAAAUAAGGCUCAAAAGGGGUAACAAAGGAUAAAGUGUUUAGAUAGCAGAACAAAAUGCCUUCAUUAUUCCUAUCUUCAAAACAUGCCAUGUACAAACAAACACAACUUGAACCAAAAAAUCAUACAUAAUAUCUUUUGACUGCAUCAGAAUUGAAAACUAUGUCGACACAUUUGCCUUCUAUAUCUGUUAAAUACAAAGCACCAUUGGACAACACUCUCGUUACGAUGAACGGCCCCUGUCAAUUUGGGGCGAACUUGUCUUUCGCUUCAGCCUGACGUGGAAGGAUGCAUUUCAACACUUACUGACCCACUUCAAAUUUCCGCGGACGCACCUUCUUGUUGUAUGCUCUCACCAUUCUCUUUUGAUACAACUGGCCAUGACACAAUACUGCCAAUCGUUUUUCAUCAAUCAAACUCAAUUGCUCCAAACGGGUUUUGACCCACUCAUCAUCAUCAAUCUCUGCUUUAGCAACAAUCCGAAGGGAUGAGAUUUCAACUUUCGCGGGUAUCACUGCUUCAGUGCCAUAUACCAACAAAUAAGGAGUUGCACCUACUGAAGUGUGAACAGUAGUGCAAUAACCCAACAAUGCAAAGGGAAACUUUUCAUGUCAUUGCUUGGAACCUUGCACCAUUUUCCGAAGUAUCAUCUUUAUGUUUUUGUUGGAUUCGUCGACUGCUCCAUUCACCUUGGGGCGGUAUGGGGUAGAAUUUUGAUGUGUCAUCUUAAACUGUUGACACACUUCUUUCAUCAGAUGACUGUUAAGAUUAGCACCAUUAUCUGUGAUGAUCACCUUUGGAAUCCCGAACCAACAAAUCAUAUUUGCAUGCACAAAGUCGACCACUGCCUUCUUGGUCACAAACUUGAAAGUUUUAGCUUCAACGCACUUAGUAAAAUAGUCAAUGGCCACCAGAAUGAACUUGUGUCCAUUGGAUGCUGCUGGCUCAAUUGGUCCGAUGACAUCCAUACCCCAAGCAACAAAGGGCAAUGGUGCGGACAUUGUGUGCAAUUCAGAUGGCGGAGAAUGAAUCAAAUCUCCGUGUACUUGACAUUGAUGACACUUGCGCACAAAACUGAUACAAUCUCGCUCCUUGGUGAGCCAAUAAUAACCUGCUCGAAGAAUCUUCUUUGCCAGAACAUAUCCGCUCAUAUAUGGCCCGUAGACUCCUGAAUGCACUUCGAUCAUGAUAGUCGUGGCCUGUCUGGUGCAUCUCAACAAUCCGAGUUCUGGAGUUCUUUUAUAAAAAAACUCCCCCAUUGAAGAAGAAUCCACUUGCCUAAUGUCGAAUUGUUCUCUUUUGAUCCCCUAUGGCUUGAACUGGAUAUACCCUCAUCCUGAUAUACUCCCUGAUGUCAUGGAACCAUGGUUCACCAUCAAGUUCCUCCUCAACCAUAUUACAGUAAGCAUGCUGAUCACGAGCUUGAAUAUGCAGAUGAUCAAUAUAAGUUUUGUCUGUAUGGUGCAACAUUGAUGCUAAGGUAGCCAAUGCAUCGGCGACCUCAUUAUGGAUCCUUGGAAUGUGCCUGAAUUCUAUAGAUCAAAAUUGCUGACAAAGAUCAUGCAGACAUUGUCGAUACGGUAUAAGCUUUAAAUCUCGUGUCUCCUAUUCUCCUUGAAUAUGGUGCACCAGAAGGUCUGAGUCCCCCAAGACCAAGACUUCUUGGAUUCUAAUAUCUACGGCUAGCGUUAAAACCAAAAUGCAUGUCUCGUACUCAGCCAUGUUGUUGGUACAAUAGAAACGAAGCUGAGUCGUAACAGGAAGUGAUGCCCUGUUUCAGAAAUGAGCACUGCCCCUAUCCCGACACUUUUCAUGUUGGCAGCCCCAUCAAAGAAAAUCGGGCUUUUUAUCCUUCUCGACCUUGUCGAUAUGCAUUACCUCUUCAUUAGGGAAGUAAGUCCUCAAAGGUUCAUAUUCUUCAUCCACCGGGUUCUCGGCCAAGUGAUCAGCCAAAGCUUGGGCUUUCAUCGCUGUCUGAGUCACAUAUACGAUGUCAAAUUCUAUGAGCAUGAUCUGCCACUUUGCGAGCCUUCCUGUAGGCAUGGUCUUCUGAAAGAUAUACUUCAAGGGAUCUAGGCGAGAGAUGAGGUAAGUAGUGUAGGACGACAAGUAAUGCUUCAACUUCUGUGCUACCCAAGUCAGGGCACAUCACGUUUUCUCAAGGGGAGUAUACUUAACCUCAUAAGAUAUGAAUUUCUUGCUGAGAUAGUAGAUUGCUUGCUCUUUCCUGCCGGUGAUGUCAUGCUGACCCAACACACAAUCAAAUAAAUUAUCCAAGACCGUCAAAUACAGAAUCAAAGGUCUCUCGGGUUCUGGCGGGACCAAAACAGGGGGUUCGACAAAUACUUCUUGAUCUUAUCAAAUGCUUCCUGGAAAUCAUCAGUCCAUUUGACCGCAGCAUAUUUCUUUAGCAACUUGAAGAUGGGCUCACAGGUUGUCAUGAGCUAAGCAAUAAACCUGCUGAUGUAGUUUAGCCUCCCUAAUAGACUCAUCACCUCGGUCUUGUUCCUUGGUGGUGGUAAUUCCUGGAUAGCCUUGAUCUUUGACGGAUCCAAUUUAAUACCCCACCGACUAACUAUGAAUCCCAACAGCUUCCUUGAUGGAACACCAAAUGCGUACUUUGCAGGAUUGUGCUUUAGAUUGUACCUGCGGAGCCUUUGGAAAAACUUUCUCAAAUCUUUGACGUGGUCAGGCUGCUUCCUGGACUUUAUGAUCACAUUAUCCACGUAAACCUCAAUCCCCUUGUGUAUCAUGUCAUGGAAUAUGCUAAUCAUCGCCCACAUUUAAGUUGCCCCAGCAUUUUUCAAACCAAAAGGCAUGACCCGGUAGUAGUAUGUUCCCCAUGGCAUGAUGAAUGCCAUUUUCUCUGCACCGUCCUCAUCCAUUAAAAUCUGAUGAUAUCCUGCAUAGCAGUCCAAAAAAGACUCAAUCUCAUGCUUGACACAGUUAUCAAUCAAAAUGUGGAUGUUUUGUAGUGGGAAAUUGUCCUUUAACCAUGCCUUAUUGAGGUCACAGUAAUUAGCACACACUCUGGUCUUACCAUCUUUCUUUGGCACAAGCACAACAUUGGCUAACCAUGUGGGAUACCGUGUGACUCGAAUGACCUUUGCAUCAAGCUGCUUUGUGACAUCUUCUUUAGUCUUCAAACUCAUGUCAGUUUUGAACUUUCUCAGCUUCUGCUUGAUGGGGAUGGGGGAAAUGUUGGAUCAAUUGGCAAUUUAUGGACCACCAAAUCGGUACUCAAGUCGAGCAUAUCAUCAUACGACCAUGCAAAAAUAUCCUUAUGCUCAAACAAUGCUUUAAUUAUCUCUUCCCUGAUUUGCUGUUCAAGAUGGACGCUUAUCUUAGUUUCUCUGACAUUAUCCGGGUCCCCUAAAUUGAUUGCUUCUGUAUCAUUCAGGUUAGGCUUGGGUUUUUCUUCAAAAUGACUUAGUUUCUUAUUAAUUUUUUCAAAGGCCUCAUCCUCAUCAUAUUCUGAUUCAUCAUCAUACUCUAUUUCUUAGAUUAUUAUUUCAAAAUUAGAUUGACUUUUAAGACUGGGCCGAAGAUUCCUCAUGCAUGUCAUGUCAUUGAAACCAGCAUAAAAAGAACUGUACAAAGAAGAAAAGAAAAACAAAAAAUUAAACUAUCAGGUAUGAUGGAAAAAGGAAAUUGCUUUUCAUUAAAAUAAAGGAUAACAGGGUUUGUGCAUCAACAAGCAAAAAAUAAAAGUCUGGGUCACAACCCUGGAAUGACCCAGAUAUAAAGGAAAACAAAACAAACUACCAAGACUCCUUCCGGGUAAGGAGAGAAGUAGCCUUCCAAUUGUUAAGAUUUGCAUUUGGUCCUACGAACUGCACGUCCUCUCUGCUAGAACCUUCUCCAACUUCAACCAUGUUCACAUCAUCAAACAACCUCUGGAACCUUUCAAUUAACUCCUCAUCAAUAUCAACCACAGAACUUGAAAUUGUCGUCACUGGGCAUUUCCUGGCAUCGAGCUUGACAAAAGACCUGGAGAGACGCGGAACAGGCUUUGGAAGUGCCCACGCCUUCUAGUUCAACCUUUUAGCCCUUUUCACAUCUGCCGCUAUAGAUUUGAACUCAAGACCGAACAUACCAAAUUUUCAGGGAGGGACACUGGCUAUAUGAUACACUGCAGAGAUGCACCCAGACCUUUACCGGGCACAAAGCCAUUUUUAGCAUUUCAAAGGCCACCAUAACUGAUGCGGAGGUUAUCUUUGGAGUUGGAACACAUUUCCCCUCUGAAACCUUCUCGACUGGCACUGUUUCAAAAAGUUGAUAGACCCAAGUCCCUUUGUCAUCUUCAACCUCAAUGAACGAUACGAAGGCAUCACUUUAAGCACACAAAUUAUCCUUGCUGUGCACGAUAAUCUCUUGUCUAUCCCAUUCAAACUUGACCAUCUGGUGCAAAGUGGACGGGACUGCUUUGGCAUGAUGAAUCCAAGGUCGACCCAAUAGAAAAUUGUACGAGAUGGCUACGUCCAACACCUGGAACUCCAUGGUGAAUUCCACUGGUCCUAUUGUUAAUUCAAGCACUAUAUCACCAACUGAAUCUUUCCCUCCACCAUCAAAUCCCCGAACACAUAUGCUAUUUUUGUGAAUCCUCUCAUCAUCCCCUUUCAACUUGUUUAGAGUAGAGAGAGGGCAGAUGGUUGCACUAGAACCGUUAACAACUAACACCCUGAUGACCACAAAAUCUUCUCAUUUUACCCUAAGAUAGAGAGCUUUGUUUUGUUCGGUACCCUCCACAGGCAACUCAUCAUCAGAAAAGGUGACUCUAUUCACCUCAAAUAUUUUUUUGGCGAUCUUCUCUAGAUGGUUCACUGAAAUUUUGUCGGGAACAUGAUCCUCGUUCAGAAUUUUCAUCAGGGCCCGACGAUGCUCGUCUAAGUGGAUCAACAACGACAAUAAAGAUAUCUGAGCAGGCGUCUUUCUCAACUGCUCCAUGAUGGAAUAAUCUUGUACCUUCAUUUUUCUCAGAAACUCCUCCGUCUCUUCUUCAAACACUGCUUUCUUUACUAGGACUGGAUUAUCUCUCGAUGUUUUAACUUUCCUCAACUCUUCUUGGGCAAAGCAUCUCCCCGAACGAGUUAAUCCCUAGUUCUCAUUGACUUCUUCUUUCACUUCCUUUCUCUUAUAGGUCACUAUUACCCGUUCAUAGUUCCAUUGGAUGGCCUUGGUGCUGAUUACUAGCAAUUGGGUUAUAGGCUAAAUGAUGACAGGAUCCAUACGGGCACCCUCUACAAUUAUGAUAGGCUUGUUUACCACUCCUAGCACAACCACUUUUCACUUUUCUUACUUUGUCGUGACAUCACUUGGGGAUCCUUUCUUGACUACUACAGAUGGUUCACCAUUGUCCUGCUCAACUUGUUCACUGAUCCUUCAAUUGUUGGUUUUUUAACUGGCUUGACCUCACUGGCCCGAAUCAUCAUGACAGUAUGUGAAGGCUUCUUGGGUUCCCCUCCCUUAUGUACUAUCUCAAUCAUGUUCGUUUCCUGAUAGGUUGGUAAUGGGUUAUGGUUGAUGUUGGGUGCCUCUAGAGUUUGGACUUCAAUUCGGUUUGUGUCAAUGAGCUCCUAGAUGGCAUUUUUCAAGUGCCAGCACUUCUCCGUAUCAUGUCUCGGAGUACCAAAACAAUAUUCACAGCUCACAAAGUAAUCAAGAAUCUUUAGAGGAGGGUUUGGAAAUUUCGACUCAAUUGGCCUCAACAUAUCCAACUGCCUCAAUCUGUGGAACAAACUGGUAUAAGACUCUCCCAGUGGGGUGAAAGUUUUCUUCCACUGCAACCUCUCAUUUUUGAAUGCUGGAUUGGGUUGGAAACCUGGACCGACAGGGUUUUGAUAGGCUCGUAGGGGUGGGUAACCAUUUUGUGGAGCUGGGUAGGUGUUUUGUGGGGCUGGGGCACGCCAUUGUGUGUAGGCAGGAGGUUGAGUAUAUGUUUGGGCAUGGUGGAAAGAAUUAUGAGGGUCUGUUGAUGGGAAGUAGUGUUGGGGUAGAUUAUAUGAGGUUUGAGUGUAGGUUCGGUGAUGGGUCGAGGCUGGGUAUAUUGGUAUGACGAGCCCCUGGGUCCGAACCAUGAUCCUGAAUCAAUUGUUGCCACAUCUUCUUUCUUCUUCUUUCCAAUCACUCCCCUAAUACCAUUCUGAAUGGCUUGGGUAGUUGCCUUGAUAGCUGAGUAACUCAUGAUUUUGCUUGAUUUAAGCCCUUCUUCCACCAUGCCACCCAUCUUUACUACCUCGUUGAACGAUAUGCCUAUGGCCUAUAUUAGAUGGUGAAAGUAAGUAGGCUCCAGAGACUGUAGAAAGUACUCCACCAUUUCGCUCUCAUCCAUCGGGGUGUUAACUCUUGCCGCUUGUUCUCUCCAGCAAAAACCAUAUUCUCUGAAACUUUCACUAGGCUUCUUCUCAAUUUUAGUCAAAGACAAAUGUUCUGGAACAAUCUCGAUAUUGUACUGGAAAUGACAAGUGAAUGCUUUGUCAAAAUCAUCGCAGGUAUACCAUCUGUUGUGAUCCUGACGAGUGUGCCACUCCAAUGCCGAACCACUCAAACUCUAGCUAAAGUAUGCUAUCAAUAACUCAUAUUUCCCACCGGCUUCUCUCAUUUUACUGUAGAAUCCCCUCAAGUGGGCCACCGGGUCUUCGUGCCCGUCAUACAAAUCAAACUUCGGCAUCUUAAAUCCCACAGGAAACUGAACAUCGGGAAAUAGACACAAAUCCUUGUAGGCUACGCUUACCUGGUCUACCAAUCCCUGCAUGUUUCUGAAUGACUGCUCUAGGCUUCUAACCUUCCUGAACAUCUCCUCAUGCUCUAGGUCUUUAGGUGGUUUCUCAGUCUCAACAGGGAGGUCGAAAUAUGGAGUAUAGGAGAAAGGCUCUGAGGCUUUGAAAGUAGGCUCCGGGGGGUAGUAUUGGAUAUCCCGAGUCUGGAAUAAGGUCUCACUGGAGGAUUGAUGGAGUGUAGCGGGUGGGGGUGCCACAAAGNUAGGGGUGGCUAGUGGAGGAGGGUACGGGACUAGGUUUAGGUGGNNNNNNNNNNNNNNNNNNNNNNNNNUGGAGAUGAAUCAACAGUGGGAGGUUCUUGGGAUUAAGCCAACGACGGGACGAAAGUCGGGUUGGCGGGGCAUGAUGGUGGUGGAUGCCCCUUCACCCAUGCCUGGUACAUCUCUACCAUUUGGUGUUUUAACUUGUAUAACUCCUCUUUCAGAUUAACAUCAAACUCUUCCCCCUCUCUUGACGGAUCAAUAACACUUGCAUCCAAUUAUUGGUUGGCCAUGAUCAACUUGUCUUUGGACAUAUGGUGUUGUACGGGUAAGUUUCCAGAAUGCCAAACAAACUAACCACCUGCUUAUACUUGACGCCAUAUGAAUCAAACCAAGUGUAGUUUUGGGAAUAUGUGUGAAAUAAAUAACAAAAUAAAAAAACAUUUUUUGGGGUUUUUAAAAAUAAAAUAAAAUAUCUUGAUUAUGAAAACUUCCCCCGCAGAUUUAAACAUAAAGACUAACAGACUCGAUGAGUGGACUGGCAACUUCAAAAGAAAACUGAAAAUACAGACUUGAAAUGAACUAACAAACUACCAAUACAGACUCGAAAAUAAAAUAAAAUACAUACUCGAAUAAACAAAGUCAAGAAUACAUAAGUGCUUCAACUGUUGCUCCAGUUGGCCUUGCUUCGGGCCUCCGUGCAAUGUCUUCUUGGAGGCGAAACAAGUCAUCCAUAAUCAGCCGGGCAAAAAUCAUAACUGAAGUGAAGAACAUGUACCUAGUCAUGUCUUCACACUCGUUGCAUUUCAUCACAAUGUAGUCCGCAAUUCUCCUAACCCUUUCCCUAAUAAUACACUUCUUUUAUAGCAACCAUCCGAUCUACUGAGAUCUGGCACCCAAAACUUGUUCGGAUGCAUGGUUUUGCUCUUGAAGCUACUGAAAGUCUUUCUCUAGUUGUGCCAUCAGGGCAUAACAGUGCUCCCUUUCUACUUUGAAGUCUCUCGCCUACUUGGCCAUUUCAUUUUCAAGGGCAUUGACCUUUUUCUUUAUAUUCACCAUUCCCUUGUCAUACUUAUCCUUCAGUUGCCGAACGAAACUGGUCUGCCCCUCUACAUUCUUAUCUAGCUUGGCUCGGGCAUUUGCCAGCUCCGCCUCAGUCUUUUGCAAAUCAUCCUCAAAAUCACAUACCUUUUGGGUAAGACUGUAGAUGAGCUUUUCGUCUUUUCUACUCCUGCCCGGGUUCUCAAUUGCUAUUCUCAUUUUUCGAACUUGGGCUCGGAGAGCUUCAUUCUCUUGGGCCAACUUUCUUCUUUUACCUUCGGCUUCUUGUUCUUGGAGAUCAUUGUUGAAUUCCUUGUUUCUCAGCUUCUCUUUCAGGGCGUGAAUCUCGGCUUGAUAUUCCUUCUCCUUUUCCCCCUAUGCCAGCCUUUCUUGGAUUUUGUCGUCAAAAGCUUGAACAUGAGGUCUCUUGGUAGGCCUCUCGGGUUCGGGCUUAGGCUCGUUGUUUACACAAGCCCUUUUCUCAAACCAAGCAGCAUAAUUUCGAUCUACUUCCCUUUUGCAACACCUGGUACCUGAGUGCCAUUUUUCAGAUACCGACAGUCAUUCCAAUCCUGCUGAACUAAAGCCUUGCGCAAUGUAGCUUUUGGAUGCAUCUCUAUGACCUGGGUGGUUAGAUCUUCAUCUUCAGGAACGAUCUGAUAUCUUCUUAAUUGCCUCAAAACCCUCUGCGGUGCAUAUGGUUGGAUACUCCUCACACUCAUUAACCUCGGGUAACCUUUGGUGGCAGUCAUGAAUAUGGCUUCUAUCAUUGGGAGCCAUCCUAUAGUCCACUUAUCCUAACUUGCUUUGAGAGCUUUCAAGUGGGAGACCCAUGCUUCAAACCCUUCUGGCAUGUUGUAGUCCUUUACCCUUUCCUCGUAAUUGGUAAUGAAGUUAUUUGGGCUCGAACCAUAACUCAUGAAUCUGGGAUGAUGGCGAAGAUGCUUUAUCAGCCAUAUUUGUAGAAGGAUAUUGCAACCUUCAAAGAAUUGAGCCUUAGCUCUGCAUAAUGUCAAUGCUCGACAAAUAUCAGCCAGCACUAACGGGACAAUUUUAUGAUCUUCCUUGGUAGUGAGGAUUUGUGCAAUUCUGACCAUAAGAGUAUCCAAUGUCCCUUCCUCAUUUGGAAAAACCAUGAUCCCCAUAAAUUCCACGAUAAAAGUGAAUUGGCGAUGAAUUUGCCAAAGGCCUUUAUUUUGUUUGUUACUCAAACCCUUUUCAUGUGUUUCGAACCCGGCCGAGUGCCUGAACCCGAAGUACAAGAAGUGGAAAGAACAACACCCUUUGCUUACAUGGGCCUUCUUCAUCUGUUUACUGAUAUUCAGGAGGUCAAAGAACUUAUGCACCGAAGGACCCCUUGGAAAUAUAAGUUGUUGCUUCCUUAAGUCCCAGCCAAACUCAAUGUACCCGGCCAUUUCCUCUUAAGUAGGGGUGAUCUCAAAGUCCGAGAAACAAAAAACAUUGUGGACAGGGUCCCAAAAGGUUAUCAAAGCCUUGAUUAAAUCUUCCCGCGGUUUGAUUUCCAAAAUAUAUACAAGGACACCCAACUAUUUUUUCACCCAUUUCUAAUCAUCCUCAUGUAGAUCAUUCCACCACAUACGCAAGUGUAACUGAGCUUGUUUCCUGACCAUUUUUGACGAGUCUUGGGUGGUGUUCAUUCGUGACGGGUCCUAGACAGUGUUCAUUUGUACCUGUGGAGGGUCAAGGUUAGGGUUGACUCUGGUAGAUCUUUUUUGUAAAACAGGUUUUCCAAUUUCUACAAGAAAAAUCAAUGGGCCAUGAUUCCUUCCCCUAUAUGCUAAAUUUAGCAAAAAUGACCGUUUUGCAAACGUGGUCCCUUCCCAAUUCCAAAUGAAUUUUGAGGUUGGGGAGGACUAUUUUAUGACACUUGACAAACUUGUCCGUUCUUUUACAAAAAUAGCCCUUCGACAACUGAAAAUACUCUAAGGCUAUCUCAGCAAGAACGGUUUUUAAGACAUUACCGAAGUUGGGUCGGCUUAUUUUGACCAAAACUCCAAAGUACAUUUACUUGACCGCUAACUCUCUUUUUUCUUCUUUUUUCAAAAAUAAACCCGAAUCUUAUGUAGGUUGUCUAUGUAUCCCACAUCCGGUGAGAACCAGACCUGCGUAGUUCGGUCAAUUUUGACACAUUUGAAAAGGACAGUAUUGACUCAUUUUGAAAUGACUCUCUUUCUUUUCCCCCUUCUUUUUUUUGAAAAAUUUUGUCAUAGUUUCGGGACAUUUCCAAAUACCAAAGAUUUUUCAUAACCGGGUUUUAUUUCCUUCCCCACAUCACUCUUGGUUUUUCUUUUGCUUUAUUUUCCUAGUGGGUCAGCAUCCAAGCCGAAUCAAAUAAAUGUUCACAUAACACAUAAGAUGCAUUAGGAUGGUCUGUUAUUUUGGGGCACACCUGUCCUAGACGGACCCAACCCCUAUGUUGAGUCCCUUAAGUCAAAUGCACGUGAUGCAAACAAGCGUUCCUACUAGGAAUCCGACAUUAGGCUGUGUUUUUCUAGGUUUAAAUCCUGGGGUUGUGCUCUAGACUUGGGGUUACCUGAGCUGAAAACUGGGGCCGAAGAGGGGGCGACGUACAAGGAGCACUAAAGUCUACCCGGCCUUGUCACUGGUCCAGCCUCGUUCUAUUUGGUAUAAUUUCUAUGGGAAAAACGGGACAUGCAAACAUGUGCCCCAUUUUCAGAAGACUUAGAGGGGUGGCGUAAGAAGACAGUUAUAUACAAUUCAAAAAAUAUUAAAGCGGUAAACAGAUAGCAUUUAGCACAAAAGGUUCACAGAAUACAGUAAUAUCAACAAUAAAUAAAGCCAAGCAAAAUCAUAUUAUCAAGCUCAACUUCUAAACUCUGAACCAGAGAUUUUAAGUUCUUAUCCUCAGUAGAGUCGCCAGAGCUGUCACAGCUCCAUUUUAAUACCCCGAAAGGAGUAUAAGCGAGUUUUUCAAAUUAAAGUGAUGAUCGAAACAGGAUUAUUUUAUUUAAAAUUCAGAGUUGCCACUUGGGAUAAUUUAUGGUGUCCCAAGUCACCGGUUUAAAAUCUUGAAUCGACGAAGUUUGACUCUGUUUACGGUCCGCGAACACAGAAAUCCAGGUAAGGUAUUCUGUUAACCCGGGAGAAGGUGUUAGGCAUUCUCGGGUUCCGUGAUUUUAGCACGGUCGCUUUGAUCAUACUUGGCUAGUUAAAUUGUCUAAUUACUUAUUUUAUAACCUAUGUGCAUUUGCCUAUUUUAAUUAAGAAAUUAUCUUGUAACAGGUCACGCGUAUGUGUACCCAUUUAUUUGGCGCGUCAAAAAUCGUGUCACGCGAACGUGUCCACAAUUAGUAACACUUUAUAUUUAUUUUUUAAGAAAGUUUGACCGAAGUUGCGCGAACGCAUACUCCGAUUUUAUUGUUAGAAUUGUAAUCAUGUCACGCGAACGUGUACACCACCACGAUAAUGGAUUAAAAUGUAUGGCUCAAGUUUUAUACCACAGGGUCCUUGCAUAUGUCUAUGUCGCAUUUAAACUUCAAAUAAUCAGGUUCUUACCAUCCCAUGGCCCAAAAUAUUAGCUAAUAGUCCGUUUUAUAAUCUAGCACAUUAUUAAUUAAACCCAGGUCCAAACUAACUCUUCAAAUCAGUCCAUCCUAAAAGACCGAAUCUUUGAGAUAAUCACAGCUCCAUUCUUAAUCAUCUUCAUUUUUUACAACUAAUACUUCAUGAAACUUUAGAGCUUUUCUCCAAAUUAUAUUAAACUAAUAAUGAAUAAUGAAAAAUUCAAUCAUUAACUAAUCAUGGAACUAACUUUCCUAUAAAACUAAACCAUUAAAUAUAACUAAAUUAUUUUAAGAAAACUACCCAAGAGCAGAAAAAAUAUUGUUGCUUAUGGAUUAAAAGGGAGCAAACAUGUUCUUGCUAAACUUUGAACAAACAAAAGAUGACAAACUAAUGGACAAAAAUAAAGAAAACCUGCUCGAACGGAAAAGAAGCAGUAGCGCUGGAACCUUGCCAGCAACUCGAACGAAACCGACCUCACUCAAACUCCAUCUUGGAAAAGCGAAAAUCUGAAACAAGGAAGAUGAAACAGAACUUUUUAUGUGCUCUGUUUAUAGUUGUCUUGUGAGUUAAUUUUGGAUGUUAGAAUAGUGACAAACUGAUUUUUGACGGAGCUUAGGACGGAAAGAUGAUGAGAGAUUUUGCUUUCUCUGUUUUCAACAUCUCUUUCCCCGGUGCCUUCUAUUUCAUCUUCUCACUCCAUGUGUGUGCGCGUGUGUGUAUUGAUGCUGGUUUGAUAUAGUAGAGGCAAAGAUGGGGUCGUUUUGUGUGAGGUAAGAGGUUUUCCUAAAGGUCCAUGGCUGUUGUAGCUGUGAUUGAUGAAGAAGAAGAAGCAGUGGCGAUGGGUGGUCGUUGCGGUGGUGUUGCGUGUGGAACUGGUGAACUUUGGUUGUUGCUGAAGGUUUAGGGAUGAAGAAACUGGGGUUCAAGCCAUGGGGAUGUGAAGGAGAGGAGGAGGGUCGUAUGGGGUGGGGUUCGAAAUUGUUCUCUGCUGCUUCUUUAGAUUCUCAUUUUGUAUAUGUUCGUCCAAAUCUAGAAGAAGAAAGGCGGAUAGCUAUAGGGGUCUAGGUAUUUUUUAGGCUAAUUUUGGUUAUACAGAGAGGGUUUUUAGGUUAAAGGGUAUGAGUUUGGUAUUAUUAGGUCUUAAAAUUGGGCCAAAGACUAAAA
rnacentral:lncRNA from 1 species